rnacentral:rRNA from 1 species
GAUGAACGCUAGCUACAGGCUUAACACAUGCAAGUCGAGGGGCAGCAUUAUCGAAGCUUGCUUUGAUAGAUGGCGACCGGCGCACGGGUGAGUAACGCGUAUCCAACCUUCCCCAUAGUCAGGAAUAGCCCGGCGAAAGUCGAAUUAAUGCCUGAUGUUUUCCACGGACGGCAUCCGAUGUGGAACAAAGAUUCAUCGCUAUGGGAUGGGGAUGCGUCUGAUUAGCUUGUUGGCGGGGUAACGGCCCACCAAGGCAACGAUCAGUAGGGGUUCUGAGAGGAAGGUCCCCCACAUUGGAACUGAGACACGGUCCAAACUCCUACGGGAGGCAGCAGUGAGGAAUAUUGGUCAAUGGACGGAAGCCUGAACCAGCCAAGUAGCGUGAGGGAUGACUGCCCUAUGGGUUGUAAACCUCUUUUAUAAGGGAAUAAAAUACGGGACGUGUCCUGUUUUGCAUGUACCUUAUGAAUAAGGACCGGCUAAUUCCGUGCCAGCAGCCGUGGUAAUACGGAAGGUCCGGGCGUUAUCCGGAUUUAUUGGGUUUAAAGGGAGCGCAGGCGGUCUUAUAAGCGUGACGUGAAAUGCAGCGGCUCAACCGUAUGAUGUGCGUCGCGAACUGUGAGACUUGAGUGUAUUCGAUGUCAGCGGAAUUUGUGGUGUAGCGGUGAAAUGCUUAGAUAUCACGAAGAACUCCGAUUGCGAAGGCAGCUGACAAGGCUACAACUGACGCUAAAGCUCGAAAGUGCGGGUAUCGAACAGG